rnacentral:rRNA from 1 species
GCUGGGAGGGAUGUAUUUAUUAGAUUCAAAAGCCAAUGCCAUUCUUUUCGGAGAGUGGAAAUUUAACAUAUGGUGAAUCAUGAUAACUUUACGAAUCGCAUGGUCUUUUGUGCCGGCGAUAGUUCAUUCAAAUAUCUGCCCUAUCAACUUUCGAUGGUAGUAUAGAGGACUACCAUGGUGUUAACGGGUAACGGAGAAUCAGGGUUUGAUUCCGGAGAAGGAGCCUGAGAAACGGCUACUACUUCCAAGGAAGGCAGCAGGCGCGCAAAUUACCCAAUCCCGACAUGGGGAGGUAGUGACAAAAAAUAACAAUACCGGUCUUAUUUAAGUCUGGUAAUUGGAAUGAGUACAAUCUAAAUCCUUUAACGAGUAUCAAUUGGAGGGCAAGUCUGGUGCCAGCAGCCGCGGUAAUUCCAGCUCCAAUAGCAUAUAUUAAAGUUGUUGCAGUUAAAAAGCUCGUAGUUGGAUUUUGAAGUUUACAUAUUAUGACCCACUUUGUAUUAAGUGUGUUUUGUUGUGAUAUGUACUUCUCCUUACUAGACUUUCACUAUUACACUUUAUUGAGUGAUAGUUUCAUUUUAAUUUAUU